rnacentral:rRNA from 1 species
UACGUAGGGUGCGAGCGUUAAUCGGAAUCACUGGGCGUAAAGGGCGCGUAGGCGGGAUGGCAAGUCAGUCGUGAAAUCUCUCGGCUCAACCGAGAAACGUCGGCUGAUACUGCCGUUCUUGAGGGAUGCAGAGGAGACUGGAAUUCCCGGUGUAGCGGUGAAAUGUGUAGAGAUCGGGAGGAACACCGGUGGCGAAGGCGGGUCUCUGGGCAUUUCCUGACGCUGAGGCGCGAAAGCGUGGGGAGCAAACGGG